CCAGCGUCCUUGUAGCAUUGGAUAUGUGUAGUGGGUUGAGUUUGAUUUUGUUUUGGUGAAUUUUCUGGAUCCUUUUAACUUGUGUUGAUUGGUGUUGAUCCCCUUUUGACUCAGUAGAAGUUGAACAUGUGUCAGCAAUGCAACUUUGAGAUUGAAUUCUGUUGUGUUCUGGGCAAGUAAAGAGUAAUGUUUGAUCUGUAUUACUUGCUCAUUGCUCUGCUAUCGCUUUGAUACAUGUGUGUCUUCGUAUGCUUUAACUACAGCAGCUCACUUCAGCUUGGUAAAAUUUGAUUGUCACCCGGUUUGGUUUUGAAAUACAGUGAUCAUUGUUUUGGGAUAAUAUGUACGUUUAUUAGUAUGUAUAGGUGGGAAGUUGCUUAGUAAAAUAUCGAUCUGGAAUUUCAAAAGAGUUGUACGUAAGGAGGAAGUUCUGUGGGGUUUGGCUGUAGACAUAGGCAUUUGAGUUUUGAAGGAUCACAUGGUUACGAGAGAGAGAGAGAGAGAGAGAGAGAGAGAGAGAGAGAGAGAGAGAGACUAUUUUCCAAGCUGGUUUUGCUGCAUGGUUAGCAGAAAAGAAGAAGGCUGACUCUAAACGUUUGAGAGUUUCUGUUGGCCAUGAUUCUCGAGUAUCUGCACAACAGUUAGAGAUUGGCAUCCACACCAGCAAUGUUUAAUAGCACAGUUACCGAAGAUGAUGGUUUCUUAUGUCCUGCUGAUGGGGCCAUAAUGAUAACAGCAGCAAGUCAUUUACCUUACAACAGGAAUGGUUUCAAAUUCUUCACAAAUGCUGGAGGGCUUGGGAAAGCUGACAUUAAAAACAUCUUGGAGCAUGCUACAGAUAUUUACAACAAGUGGUGGGAUAGAGAUGGAGUGGUGGGAUAGAGACCAAAAGACCAAGUAUGUCCUGUAAGCAGUGUUUGAUGCUUCUGUUGUAAUCUGUUUCACAUGGAACGCCUAGAUGAAUUUGUAAAUUAUUGCCAGAAAAUCUAUAAGUGC